UGAUGGGGAAGCCCUUCGGGGCGAAGUAGCUGAUUUCAUACUGUCAAGAAAAGCUUCUAUCGAGUUUAAAGGCGCCCGUACCGUAAACCGACACAGGUGGGUGAGGAGAGUAUCCUAAGGCCAGCGAGAGAACUAUUGUUAAGGAACUCGGCAAAAUGACCCCGUAACUUAGGGAGAAGGGGUGCCUGUCUAUGACAGGCCGCAGAGAAUAGGCCCAAGCGACUGUUUACCAAAAACACAGGUUUCUGCUAAGUCGCAAGACGAUGUAUAGGAGCUGACGCCUGCCCGGUGCUGGAAGGUUAAGGGGAUCUGUUAGAGCAAUCGAAGCAGUGAACUUGAGCCCUAGUAAACGGCGGCCGUAACAAUAACGGUCCUAAGGUAGCGAAAUUCCUUGUCGGGUAAGUUCCGACCCGCACGAAAGGCGUAACGAUUUGGGCACUGUCUCAACAAUAGACUCGGUGAAAUUGUAAUCCCGGUGAAGAUGCCGGGUACCUGCGACAGGACGGAAAGACCCCAUGGAGCUUUACUGUAGCUUGACGUUGGGUCUUGGUACUACAUGUACAGGAUAGGUGGGAGACUAUGAAGCAUGGACGCCAGUCUGUGUGGAGUCAUCCUUGGGAUACCACCCUUGUAGUACUGGGAUCCUAACCAUAGGCCUUGAAUCAGGUCUUGGAACACCGUCAGGUGGGCAGUUUGACUGGGGCGGUCGCCUCCUAAAAAGUAACGGAGGCGCUCAAAGGUUUCCUCAGCACGGUCGGAAAUCGUGCGAAGAGUGUAAAGGCAAAAGGAAGCUUGAUUGCAAGACAUACAGGUCGAGCAAGGACGAAAGUCGGACUUAGUGAUCCGGUGGUACCGCAUGGAAGGGCCAUCGCUCAACGGAUAAAAGCUACCCUGGGGAUAACAGGCUUAUCUCCCCCAAGAGUCCACAUCGACGGGGAGGUUUGGCACCUGAUGUCGGCUCAUCACAUCCUGGGGCUGUAGUAGGUCCCAAGGGUUGGGCUGUUCGCCCAUUAAAGUGGUACGCGAGCUGGGUUCAGAACGUCGUGAGACAGUUCAGUCCCUAUCCGUCGCAGGCGUAGGAAAUUUGAGAAGACCUGUCCUUAGUACGAGAGGACCGGGAUGUAGAGCAUAGGUGGGAGACUAUGAAGUUAGGGCGCCAGCCUUGGCGGAGUCGACAAUGGAAUACCACCCUUAUCAGUCUGGAAUUCUAACCUUGGCCCGUUGAUCCGGGUCGGGGACAGUGU
rnacentral:rRNA from 1 species